AACGUAGGAGGCGAGCGUUAUCCGGAUUUACUGGGUGUAAAGCGCGUGCAGGCGGUCGAUUAAGAUGGGUGUGAAAGCUCCCGGCUCAACUGGGAGAGGUCGCUCAUGACUGGUCGACUGGAGAGCAGUAGGGGAAGGUGGAAUUCCGGGUGUAGUGGUGAAAUGCGUAGAUAUCCGGAGGAACACCAGUGGCGAAGGCGGCCUUCUAGACUGUAUCUGACGCUCAGACGCGAAAGCUAGGGUAGCAAACGGG
rnacentral:rRNA from 1 species